rnacentral:rRNA from 1 species
CGGCAGGCCUACACGAUGCAAGUCGCGGGGCAGCACGGGUAGCAAGUACCUGGUGGCGACCGGCGCACGGGUGCGUAACGCGUAUGCAACCUGCCCCCAUCAGGGGAAUAGACCCGCCGAAAGGCGGAUUAAUGCCCAUAGGCCCAGGGCGCCGCAUGGCGCUAUGGGUAAAGCUCCGGCGGAUGGGGAUGGGCAUGCGUGCCAUUAGCUAGUUGGGCGGUAACGGCGCACCAAGGCGACGAUGGCUAGGGGGUCUGAGAGGAUGGUCCCCCACACUGGUACUGAGACACGGACCAGACUCCUACGGGAGGCAGCAGUGAGGAAUAUUGGUCAAUGGGCGCAAGCCUGAACCAGCCAUGCCGCGUGCAAGGGAAGACGGCCUUAUGGGUUGUAAACUGCUUUUACAUAAGACUAACCGUAUAUUUGCGAAUAUACCUGAAUGUAUUAUGAGAAUAAGGAUCGGCUAACUCCGUGCCAGCAGCAGC